rnacentral:lncRNA from 1 species
AGAGGCACUGAGCAUCAGAGCAAGUGAGGACAGCUCCACUCCUGCUUCACCAGCUGAGAGCAGAGGAGAGGUGCUGGGGACACAGUCUGCAGAGCAGGGAAGAUGGGACUGCAAUCAUGACAUCCCUACACAUCUGCCCCCAUGGAACCCAGGGGUUCCACUGACUCUCCCUGGCCCCUGUAUUUAUCAGACGGCCCACAGCUGCNAGCAACUAGGAGACCCUGUCUCUAAAUAAAAUACAAAAUAGGGCUGGGGAUGUGGCCCAGUGGUUGAGUACCCCUGAGUUCAAUCCCCGGUACCCAAAGAUAAAAAAGAAAAUUGCUCAAAAUCAUAUAGAAAUUGAACACAUAGCUACUCUCACACAACUGACCCUCGUUUAUCUCCACAGAUUGUCAUAGAAGCAUGUGUUCAUGUGUCUGUCCAUCCACAUAUGUGCCUGUGUGGUUUCACGAGAGAAGGACAUGGAACAGGGAGAUUCAGCAAUGAGGCCACUAAGGCACAUGAGCCAUAUGUAGACAAGAGUUGGGCGACUGAGUACAUCAGAGGGUGCCAGUAGGAGAACCAAGUCACUCUUGAGGAAUGAAAGGGACAGCGUUAAUUACCCCAGGGCAACAGAUGUAAAUGGCCUAUCCCAGGCAAUCUGGAACACAAAGGUAACCUACUUUUAAUUAGCUGAAGUGCAUUGCAGUGAGUCUACCGCAAGCUCUAGAGGGCUGAGCAAGAACCCUGUGUGUGGAUUGCUGGACAUGAGUGGGUGGCCAGGGAGGACCUCACUGAGUGCUUGCAGGAGGGGAGAGGCAGCCACAUGGGCAUCUGGGAGAAGAGCAGAAGGACAGCCAGCACGUGCCCUAAGGCAGGAUUGUGCAGGCGUGCCCAGGAACAACGAGGAGGCCAUUGCCACUGGAGCAGAGUAGUCAGGGCAGGCAGGCAGCUGAGUGCAUAAGGUGCAGAGCCUUGUAAGCCAUUGGAAGAUGUUGGCUUUAUUCUGAGCACAAUAGGGAGCUAUUGCAGGCUUUUGAAGAGAGGAGAGAGAGACCAUCUCACAUCUGAGGGUCGCUUUAUUGAAAUAAUACUGUAGAAAAUCAAAGUUGGAAACAUGGAGGACAGUUAGGGUGCUAGUCCAGUAAUUCAGGCCAGCAGUCAAGGGCCUCGGAUCUGGGAGGCUGCACUGGGCAUGGUGAGCAGUUGUCAGAUUCUGGAUCUAUUUGGAGAUAGAGCCUGGAGAUUUCCUGAUGGGUUGAUGGACCUUGAAUUAGCAGAGACAGGAGUCGAGGCAGACUCCUGGGCUUUUCUCUUAGCCUUGAGAUAGAGAAAGCUCCCUGGUGGAGCAGGUUUGGGAGAUCAGUGAUCCAGGCAGAUGUCCAGGCAGGGGUGCUGAGCAGGCACUUGGGUGAAGGAGUCUAGGGUUUAGGAGAGAGUUCAGGGUGGAGAUUCAGAUGCCAGAGUCAUUAGCAUAUAAUUGGGACUUCUUCAAGAAUGGGUGGCCUCCAACCCAGAUGGACCCAAACAAGAAAUGUUCUGUUUUGGGGGGCUGGCGUUGUGGCUCAAGCGGUAGUGCGCUGGCUUGGCAUGCGAGCGGCCCCGGUUCGAUCCUCAGCACCACAUACAAACAAAAGAUGUUGUGUCUGCCGAAAACUAAAAAAAAUAUAUAUAAAGAAAGAAAUGUUCUGUUUUUCCUUCUGUUUUCAUUUUUAUGACUUAAGGUAAAAUGGAAGUGACAACAAGAAUACUAUAUAAAGCUAGUGUGUCUGCAGUGCCCUUUGAAGGAUUUGUUUUGCUUUUGUUACACAAUGCCGUUUCCUUCACCUCCAUAAGGGAAAAAAAUUGUAAACUACUAAGUUGCGUAACAGGAUGCCUUUGAGAAAUCAUUUUUAUUAAGUGAACAAUGACAACUUCCCCUUCUUCCUACCUUUUACAUUUUUAACACAAGUUCUGCUUUUCAUGAGCCAGUUGACUUGGAAUGAAAGGUCUACUUGGACCAGCAGUGAGCCUAGGCAUAACUUGUCCCUAGGUGGCGCCCCAGCUUUGUGCUACCAGGGUCCCCUUCUCAACAGCAGAUCAAUGCAGCAGCUCUCGGGAAACAUCCUUCUCCUGUCUUAGGAACUGAAGGGGAAGGGAAUCAGCAGUAAAGAAACCCAGGGCAGCAGGUGGGAACAAAUGUCCCCACCCUGGCCAGUGCCCCAGUGGCCUAUAGCCAAGGAAACUUCCCUUCACUUCUCAGUGAAAGUGCAGCAGAGGUGAAACCCAAAAGCUAGGGAGUCCAGGCUGACCGAGCCUCUGAGCGAGCAGAUCACACACCCUCUCAGAGGCACUGAGCAUCAGAGCAAGUGAGGACAGCUCCACUCCUGCUUCACCAGCUGAGAGCAGAGGAGAGGUGCUGGGGACACAGUCUGCAGAGCAGGGAAGAUGGGACUGCAAUCAUGACAUCCCUACACAUCUGCCCCCAUGGAACCCAGGGGUUCCACUGACUCUCCCUGGCCCCUGUAUUUAUCAGACGGCCCACAGCUGCCCAGCCUCCCUCCUGCCAACAGUCAGGGUACAGGGCUUCUUCUCUACCUGACCUCACUUUCCUGGACAACAUCUGGCUGGGAAACAGCUAGGGCACACAGAUGGGGCAACAAGUGCUCCUUCCCCAAGGACCACCAGGCUGCAGAGGCGAGAACGCUGCCAUCAGCUCCAUUCACACACCCUAGUGCCUCUGGUCUGACAGCCUCAGUGAAGACACAAGCAUGUGAUGGUUGAAUCUUUCCAGGAAUACAGCCAGCGUGGAGGAUGAGUCCCCACCUGUCUGCUCUGCAGCAUCUCCUCUCCCCAUAAUUCCACUGCAUUCCCUAAGAUCAAAGGGAACUCAUGAGACAGGUUCCUCUGAAGCCAGUUUGGCCUGAACUCAGCACAGCCAGCAUGCAGACACAUUCCAGAAGCCUGGACUGGUUUAGAAACAAGUGGCACUGGCAAGAGCAAAAUCUGAACUUGAGAUUUGAACAUGCAGUUCCCUGGGAGCCUUCAAGAGAAGAUAACAUCAGUGAGGGAACAUGCCGAUACCAACAGCAAGCUCUUCUGGCUGUUCACUCACACACACACACACACACACACACACUUGGAGUCAUUCCUAAGACUACUUUUGCAGAUUACAUAGACAAACCAUUCCCCAGGAUAUGAGACCCACGGUGCAGAUAAGACAGAACUCAAUCUCAAACCAUUCUAACCUUUGUACCUAGUCCAAUCACAUGCCCAGUGGUGGGUCCCCAGGUAGACUCAGGGGUCUAGGCUUUCAUCUUCUGGAGAGAACUAACAAUACCCCCAGCCUUGCCAUCUCCUGACCACAUGCAUCAGGUCCCUGCCCAGUGGCUUUUUGCUCCCCAAACACAACUUAGAGCCCUGAGCCCAUGCAGACCUGCCCAGCCCUGAGAGGAAGCAGUCCACCAGAGGGGAGGAGUUCCCUUCCGUAUUCUGCUAGUCCAGCAUGGAUGUGAACUCCAUGAGGGCCUGGGCCCGUGGGCUGCUCUUCUCACUGUGCUGGGAACAGGUCUCCCUUGGAGGAGAUAAUGACUGAGUGAAACAAGACCAUGUGAGGAAGGACCCCAUAGAACAUUCUAAGUCAAUUUUACAACCAGAGGAGGAAGUUGUCUUUAUAUGGGUGCAAAGCAACUUGUUUUCACCAAACAAUUGUAUAGGGUGCAAACAAAUCUUAAGACCAGAAAUGUUUACAAUUUCCUCAGUAAACAGGAAAAAUAGUGCUUUAAGCUAUAGCACACUGCUUUAUGUUUAAAAACCACACAGACAGCUGAUAAUAUUGUGUAAAAUAUUUUGUUUAGAGGGUAAAUCUCAUGUUACAUGUUCUUACUGCAUUAAAGGAGAGUAUGAGGAAAUUUGGGAGGGGGUGAUGAAAUCCUUCUAUAAAUAGAUUUAUUACCUUGAUAUGGUGAUGAUUUCAGAGGUAUUUGUAUAUGUCCAAUCUCAUCAAAUUGUACACAUUAAAUACAUGCAAUUGUUUGUACAUCAAUUAUCUCUCAAUAAAACUGUUAAG